rnacentral:rRNA from 1 species
GACGAACGCUGGCGGCGUGCUUAACACAUGCAAGUCGAACGGAAAGGCCCUGCUUUUGUGGGGUGCUCGAGUGGCGACCGGGUGAGUAACACGUGAGUAACCUGCCCCUGACUGUGGGAUAACUUCAGGAAACUGGGGCUAAUACCGGAUAGGAGCUCCUGCUGCAUGGUGGGGGUUGGAAAGUUUCGGCGGUUGGGGAUGGACUCGCGGCUCAUCAGCUUGUUGGUGGGGUAGUGGCUUACCAAGGCUUUGACGCGUAGCCGGCCUGAGAGGGUGACCGGCCACAUUGGGCCUGGGAUGCGGCCCGGACUCCUACGGGAGGCAGCAGUGGGGAAUAUUGCACAAUGGGCGGAAGCCUGAUGCAGCAACGCCGCGUGCGGGAUGUCGGCCUUCGGGUUGUAAACCGCUUUCGCCUGUGCCGAGGUGUGAGUGACGGUAAUGGGUGAAGAAGCUCCGGCUAACUACGUG